UACGUAGGGGGCGAGCGUUGUCCGGAUUCAUUGGGCGUAAAGAGCUCGUAGGCGGUUUGGCAAGUCGGGUGUGAAAACUCCGGGCUCAACUCGGAGACGCCACUCGAUACUGCCAUGACUCGAGUCCGGUAGGGGAGUGCGGAAUUCCUGGUGUAGCGGUGAAAUGCGCAGAUAUCAGGAGGAACACCGGUGGCGAAGGCGGCACUCUGGGCCGGUACUGACGCUGAGGAGCGAAAGCGUGGGGAGCAAACAGG
rnacentral:rRNA from 1 species